CAGUCGCCACGGGAAAACGAGGGGGGCAAGCGUUGUUCGGAAUUACUGGGCGUAAAGCGCACGUAGGCGGCUGUGUAAGUCAGAGGUGAAAGCCCGGGGCUCAACCCCGGAAUAGCCUUUGAGACUGCAUAGCUUGAACACGGGAGAGGCGAGUGGAAUUCCGAGUGUAGAGGUGAAAUUCGUAGAGAUCGGGAGGAACAUCAGUGGCGAAGGCGGCCAUCUGGGACAACACUGACGCUGAGGCACGAAAGCGUGGGGAGCAAACAGGAUUAGAUACCCCCGUAGUCCCUGUCUCUUAUAC
rnacentral:rRNA from 1 species